rnacentral:rRNA from 1 species
CGUCCGUAGGCGGCAUUAUAAGUCUGCUGUCAAAGACCGCAGCUCAACUGCGGAGAGGCAGUGGAAACUGUAAAGCUAGAGUCUGGUAGGGGUAGAGGGAAUCCCAGUGUAGCGGUGAAAUGCGUAGAGAUUGGGAAGAACACCAGUGGCGAAAGCGCUCUGCUGGGCCAGAACUGACGCUGAGGGACGAAAGCUAGGGGAGCGAAAGGGAUUAGAUACCCCUGUAGUCCUAGCUGUAAACGAUGGAUACUAGGCGUAGCUUGUAUCGACCCGAGCUGUGCCGAAGCUAACGCGUUAAGUAUCCCGCCUGGGGAGUACGCACGCAAGUGUGAAACUCAAAGGAAUUGACCGGGGCCCGCACAAGCGGUGGAGUAUGUGGUUUAAUUCGAUGCAACGCGAAGAACCUUACCAGGCCUUGACAUGUCGCGAAUCUGGGGGAAACCUCGGAGUGCCUUCGGGAACGCGAGCACAGGUGGUGCAUGGCUGUCGUCAGCUCGUGUCGUUGAGAUGCUGUGGUUAAGUCCCCGCAACCGAGUCGCAACUCCUCGUACCUUAGUUGGCCAGCCCUUAACGUGGGGCACUCUACGGGAGACUGUCCGGUGACAAAUCUCGGAGGAAGGUGGGGAUGACGUCAAGUCAUCAUGCCCCUUACGUCUUGGGUUACACACGUACUACAAUGGUAGGGACAAAGGGCA